rnacentral:rRNA from 1 species
GACGAACGCUGGCGGCGUGCUUAACACAUGCAAGUCGAACGGAGUGCCUAUGACAGAGGUUUCGGCCAAUUGAUUAGGUUACUUAGUGGCGGACUGGUGAGUAACGCGUGAGGAACCUGCCUUUCAGAGGGGGACAACAGUUGGAAACGACUGCUAAUACCGCAUGACGCAUGACUGGGGCGAUCCCGGACCAUGCCAAAGAUUUUAUUCGCUGAAGAUGGCCUCGCGUCUGAUUAGAUAGUUGGCGGGGUAACGGCCCACCAAAGUCGACGAUCAGUAGCCGGACUGAGAGGUUGACCGGCCACAUUGGGACUGAGAUACGGCCCAGACUCCUACGGGAGGCAGCAGUGGGGAAUAUUGGGCAAUGGACGCAAGUCUGACCCAGCAACG